UUGUUUACAAAAUCAGUUGUUGCCUAAAAUGACUCUAUUCAAGUUCAAUAACUUCUCUGAAGUGUGCCGGCUUUGUAUGAGUUCGGAUUCUUAUGAAACAAUGAUUCCUAUAGGCACUGCGGACUCCGUCUUCGAAGGUAGUAUUUAUGAUUUCAUUACCGCUAUUACUUUCGUCAUAUCUGAUGAAAAAGCCCAAAUGUUUCCACAAAUGGUAUGCGCUGAGUGCCUGGAACUAUUGAAAUUUUUUGCUAAAUACAGAAACAAAAUAAUGACGUUACACCUGUUGAUGAAUUCGCUAGUGGAAUUAAAACGUUCCAAUCCAGCGCCGAUCGUGGAUUUGUUUGAAAGCAGGAAAGAUAUGAUGAGAGCUCUGUUCAAAGAUCUUGAUUUAUGCAGCAAAAAAGAUGUUUUGGCUCAAGAUUUGAUAGAUGAAUUUUCAUCGUACGUUAUGACCGAUGUUCCGGUUAGCAUCAAGGAAGAAGAUGAAGUGAUGGUAAUGGAACCAUAUCAUACUUUGCUAGAAAGUGAAAACGAAGUUACAAAGGAACUGAUAGUGGAAGGAAAACCGAUUAGAUAUCCAGAUGACAUUGAUGUAUCUGCCAAGGAAAACGAUAAAGCUGUAGUUGAAAGCAAAACGGAAUGUAACAUUUCGCCAAAUCCUGCCAAAGUGGUCAGGAAAUAUGGGGGCAAAAAACUUGAUGAUCCUCUUCAAUGUAGCAAGUGCCAGUAUAAAUCAUAUUAUAAGCGUAAUUUCGAGACGCACCAGUUGAAUCAUUUGGACCGACAGUACAAAUGCAAAGAGGUAGGGUGUGCUGCCGUUUUCGAUGAUCGGAAAGCCUAUAGAAAUCACUGCGAUGCUUUACAUAAAGCUUAUGUCUGCGAGAUUUGUGGUUUGCGUACCGCGAGUCUAGCUAGACUUCGUUAUCAUAUGGAGCGACAUACGAAAGAUUAUAAAUAUGUCUGUCGUUACUGCCAAAAAGCGUGCAAAACGAAGAGGGAUUUGCAAUCUCAUAUUGUAUUUCACGUAAAUAGUGCGAAAUAUAGGUGCGAAACGUGCGGUCUGGAAUUUAAACGGAAGAGGACACUGGACGAUCAUCUACGAACCCAUUUGGAUUUUUUUGAAUUUUCUUGUAAUUUUUGUGGCAUGGAGUUCAAAAAAUCUGGAUGUCUAAAAAGGCAUCUCGCUGAAGUACACGGAAAUAUCAAGUAUUCGUGUAAGUACUGCGAUAAAACUUAUAGUGCUCGACGUAAAAUGCUGGAUCAUAUUGAAUACGUGCAUGAGAUUCAGACACAUUUCCUCUGUGAGAUUUGUGUCCAAUCAUUCUAUAGUCAAGAUGACCUUGAUAAACACAAAAUUCGUCAUCAAAACCCAAAAGAACUGGAGUGUGCUAUUUGUUUAGAUCUGUUCGAAUCUGAUGAGCGAUUGUGUGAUCAUUUGUGUAUAACGUACAGGGAUGACUAUAUAUGUUGCGAUCUAGAUUUGCGGCAUCAUUCGCGGUAUAACAAACAUAUGUUUAUCAAACACGGCAUCAAAACCAAUGUACGUGUGAAGCCGGACUUAAGCCAGUUGUUAGGAUAUAUCAGAGCUAAACGGAACCGCUUCGUGAGUUGUUCCAAGUGCGGAGAAAAUUUUCCAACAAAAAAGAUGAAAAAACAGCAUAUGGACAAAUGUGGGGGAGUGGACGAUAUCGCACCUUUGGAGAAAGAUUGUAAGACCUAGUUAAAUAAAAGAUUACCUGUUUUGUGACUAUAUUAGUGAGUUUGUAUCUCUCACGACUCACGACUUUUUUUAUUUGUCAAAUCAACAUUUAUGGACUAUAGCGCGUUCGCUUGAAUAACUACGUCCACGCAACAGUCAUCAACAAUGGAGAUUGAUCCACGGUCGAAAUAAGAUCAAUUCAUCCAUACAACUGCUCUGCUCUGCGAGAAACAUCGGUCUGUUGUUCUAUUAAUAACACAACAAUGAUUCUAUCAACUGUCUCCGCUGUCCGGCGGUCUAACUGAACCAUGGAAGAACAGAAGGAAUACUCUUACGUCUAAAGGCAAGUGUGUAAUGUGCAAUUUAUACACUGGAGAAAAAGUUUAGUAAAGGCAGCUAUAAAAUGUUUAGUAGUCAAAAUAUUGGUAAAAUAUACAAAUUUUUUGUAUAUAUUACCAAAAUCUUGUAAAAUCAAUGUCAGAUUGCUACCUUGGCUAUCAUGACUGUUGAUAGAUCACAGUAGCCAUGUCAGAAGCAGGAGUGACGUGCUUUUAGAUUUGUGCUUAUUCUAGUUUUACCUCCCAACUAAUAAAAACAUGAAAUCCUCAAGCUCUCAUAAUUUAUUUGACUACUGAGAAGGUAACAUUUUUGGCGACGAGGUUGAAGCCUGAAGAUUCUUCCGAGAUGACCACCGAAUAUGGAACUCAAGCCGGAUCCGAAGCUGGAGCAAGUGGAGGAGAAAUUCCGUUGUCCGUUGUGAUGCAGCAAAUGGCCGAGCAAAACAGCCGUUUGAUUAAGUUACUGGAACAGUUCACCGGUAACCAAGCAACGUCAACACAGCAAAAUGCUCCAGAGAAAAUUCUCGAAUCCCUUGCGACCAACCUUAAGGAGUUCCACUUCGAUCCGGAAAACGGGUUGACUUUCGAUCGCUGGUUUUCUAAGUACGAGGAUCUAUUCAGGCAGGAUGGCAGAAGCUUGGACGAUGCCGCGAAGGUUAGACUUUUGCUGCGGAGUCUCAGUGUUCCGGUGCACAAGAAAUUCCUCAACUACCUGCUACCGACCCACCCACGCGAUUUCACCUUCGACGAAGUUGUAGACGAGAUGAAGCAGAUUUUUGGUCAGCAUAAAUCUCUGUUCAGCAAGCGCUACGACUGCCUCAAUAUUGAGAAGAACAAAGCCGACGAUUUCGUAACGUAUGCUGGAAUCGUCAACCGUCAAUGUGAGGAUUUUGAACUUCAGAAGCUCACCGUGGAUCAGUUCAAGAGCCUGGUGUUCAUCUGCGGUUUCAAGUCAUCGAAGGACACCGACGUCAGGACCCGACUUCUAUCGAAGCUCGAGUCCGAUCAAGCUUAAACCAUCAACCUGGCAGGACUG